rnacentral:rRNA from 1 species
CAGUCGCCGCGGUAAUACGUAGGGUGCAAGCGUUAAUCGGAAUUACUGGGCGUAAAGCGUGCGCAGGCGGUUAUAUAAGACAGAUGUGAAAUCCCCGGGCUCAACCUGGGAACUGCAUUUGUGACUGUAUAGCUAGAGUACGGCAGAGGGGGAUGGAAUUCCGCGUGUAGCAGUGAAAUGCGUAGAUAUGCGGAGGAACACCGAUGGCGAAGGCAAUCCCCUGGGCCUGUACUGACGCUUAUGCACGAAAGCGUGGGGAGCAAACAGGAUUAGAUACCCCCGUAGUCCCUGUCUCUUAUAC